GACCCGACCCGGAGCCCGCAUGGACUUUGCAGAGUGGCGGGCGGCGUAGGCGGCGGCGGCUGGGGUUGGGCCGAGCCCGGUAUUUAUAGCUUGGUGCCAGCCGCGGCGGGUGGCAGCUCGUCUCCGUCUCCUCGCUCUUCCCCGCCAGGCCACCAGGGCUGUGCUCGCCCCACUCUCCCGGGUGCAGAAGCCCGGAGGAGCCCUCCUCCUCCCCCGUGGGGCCGCAUCGGUUAACUCUGGAAUUAAAGUUUUGAAGGAUGGGUAAAGACUUCCGCUAUUAUUUCCAGCAUCCCUGGUCUCGCAUGAUCGUGGCUUACUUGGUGAUCUUCUUUAACUUCUUAAUAUUUGCAGAAGACCCAGUUUCGCAUAGCCAAACUGAAGCUAAUGUUAUUGUUGUCGGGAACUGUUUUUCAUUUGUAACAAAUAAAUACCCUAGAGGAGUUGGCUGGAGGAUUCUCAAGGUGCUUCUAUGGUUACUUGCCAUUCUCAUAGGACUAAUAGCAGGGAAAUUUCUGUUCCAUCAACGUUUGUUUGGCCAAUUGCUCCGGUUUAAAAAUGUUUCGAGAGAUCAUGGUUCAUGGAUGACAAUGUUCUUCAGCACUAUUCUUUUCUCUUCAUAUUUUCUCACAUAUACAACAUGAUUCUUCUAAUGGAUGGGGGACAUGGG